rnacentral:lncRNA from 1 species
UUGUGUCCUGUGGUGAAGAUCGUGUCCGCUCUAUAUCUUGAGAACCAUUAUCAUUUCAAAGUUUAUACUUGACAUCUAUUUUAACCAACACCAGAGGGUGUGUCAUGAUGUAUGUACAGCUUCCUAGGUCAAAGGUCAAGGUCAAAAACUUUGGUUUCAGUUGACAACCCCGUGUCCUGUGGUGAAGAUCGUGUCCGCUCCAUAUCUAGAUAACCGUUAUGAUUU